CCUACGGGAGGCAGCAGUGAGGAAUAUUGGUCAAUGGACGAGAGUCUGAACCAGCCAAGUUGCGUGAAGGCUGACUGCCCUAUGGGUUGUAAACUUCUUUUAUAUGGGAAUAAAACGUUCCACGUGUGGGAUUUUGUAUGUACCAUAUGAAUAAGGAUCGGCUAACUCCGUGCCAGCAGCCGCGGUAAUACGGAGGAUCCGAGCGUUAUCCGGAUUUAUUGGGUUUAAAGGGAGCGUAGGUGGAUUGUUAAGUCAGUUGUGAAAGUUUGCGGCUCAACCGUAAAAUUGCAGUUGAAACUGGCAGUCUUGAGUACAGUAGAGGUGGGCGGAAUUCGUGGUGUAGCGGUGAAAUGCUUAGAUAUCACGAAGAACUCCGAUUGCGAAGGCAGUUCACUGGACUGCAACUGACACUGAGGCUCGAAAGUGUGGGUAUCAAACAGGAUUAGAUACCCGAGUAGGC
rnacentral:rRNA from 1 species